AUUGAACGCUGGCGGUAUGCCUAACACAUGCAAGUCGAACGGCAGCACAGUAAGAGCUUGCUCUUACGGGUGGCGAGUGGCGGACGGGUGAGGAAUACAUCGGAAUCUACUUUUUCGUGGGGGAUAACGUAGGGAAACUUACGCUAAUACCGCAUACGACCUACGGGUGAAAGCAUGGGAUCUUCGGACCUUGCGCGAUUGAAUGAGCCGAUGUCGGAUUAGCUAGUUGGCGGGGUAAAGGCCCACCAAGGCGACGAUCCGUAGAUGGUCUGAGAGGAUGAUCAGCCACACUGGAACUGAGACACGGUCCAGACUCCUACGGGAGGCAGCAGUGGGGAAUAUUGGACAAUGGGCGCAAGCCUGAUCCAGCCAUACCGCGUGGGUGAAGAAGGCCUUCGGGUUGUAAAGCCCUUUUGUUGGGAAAGAAAAGCAGCAGGUUAAUACCCCGCUGUUCUGACGGUACACAAAGAAUAAGCACAGGCUAACUUCGUG
rnacentral:rRNA from 1 species